rnacentral:lncRNA from 1 species
UAUUGUCCUUUUUGUAUCGUUUCUGUCUUAACAGCAGUCAGUUUAACGAAACAUCUAUAUGGAAUUUUAACCAAAAAAAAACCCCAAAAAAAUCUUAAUUGAGGCGACUAAGAGCUUACAUGAUAUAUACGUAUUUCUUGUUGAAGUGCUUGCGUGUCUUUUGUUGUUUUCCAGUGGUGGUGGAUUUCUCAGUCUCUGACGUAUAACGUACAACCCCAAAUAUGGCCGAUA